rnacentral:rRNA from 1 species
UACGUAGGGGGCAAGCGUUGUCCGGAUUUAUUGGGCGUAAAGAGCGUGUAGGCGGUUAGGUAGGUCCGUUGUGAAAACUCGAGGCUCAACCUCGAGACGCCGAUGGAAACCAUCUGACUAGAGUCCGGAAGAGGAGAGUGGAAUUCCUGGUGUAGCGGUGAAAUGCGCAGAUAUCAGGAAGAACACCCGUGGCUAAGGCGGCUCUCUAGUACGUGACUGACGCUGAGACGCGAAAGCGUGGGGAG